rnacentral:misc_RNA from 1 species
AUGAAUUGACACGAUACAUGAAUUGACACGAUACAUGAAUUGACACGAUACAUGAAUAUUGACACCCACUUUGAAUGGUUCCUAACAGUUCUAAUACAGAUACGCCGAAAAACGCCUGUUUACUUGUCGCUCACUCGCCGCUCACUCGCCGCUCACUCGCCGAUCGGACCUAUAAAUACAUCCACGGCCCAUGCCAAGCCUGUAGUAUGUACCUGUGAAAUUUCAGGCAUCAUCGUCAAGCAGGUUUAUGUGGGUCCGUGAUGAAAAGGCCAUCAGUUAAUCCAUGUAUGUUGUUCAUAGAGCACUGGAUAUCUGUUUGCAACGGUCUCUCAAUAUGGCUCACAACUCCACUGAGCUUCACAUCGAUGGAAACUGCAUUAUUCUAGUACAGUAUGUACAUACAGGUAGGAGUAGGAGUAGGAGUAGGAGUAGGAGUAGGAGUAGGAGUAGGAGUAGGAGUAGGAAUAGGAAUAGGAGAGCUCCUACUCGCUCAAUCUCAUACACCACUCCCUUUCACUUGCCACAUCGUAUAAGCCGAUCCUUGCACCACAAGUGUGUGUAUUCUCCAACUGUCUCAUAAAGAUACGAUGUUGGUGCAUGUCCACAAUAUCGCAAAGAUGAGACAGACGGACAUGAUGAGAAACGGUAUUUGUAUCGAAAUGAUAGGUUUGAACGGAUUUAC